rnacentral:rRNA from 1 species
CCUACGGGUUGCACCAGUGGGGAAUAUUGCACAAUGGGCGCAAGCCUGAUGCAGCCAUGCCGCGUGUAUGAAGAAGGCCUUCGGGUUGUAAAGUACUUUCAGCGAGGAGGAAGGCAUUAAGGUUAAUAACCUUAGUGAUUGACGUUACCCGCAGAAGAAGCACCGGCUAACUCCGUGCCAGCAGCCGCGGUAAUACGGAGGGUGCAAGCGUUAAUCGGAAUUACUGGGCGUAAAGCGCACGCAGGCGGUCUGUCAAGUCGGAUGUGAAAUCCCCGGGCUCAACCUGGGAACUGCAUUCGAAACUGGCAGGCUAGAGUCUCGUAGAGGGGGGUAGAAUUCCAGGUGUAGCGGUGAAAUGAGUAGAGAUCUGGAGGAAUACCGGUGGCGAAGGCGGCCCCCUGGACGAAGACUGACGCUCAGAUGCGAAAGCGUGGGGAGCAAACAGGAUUAGAUACCCGUGUAGUC